rnacentral:sRNA from 1 species
AGUUGGGCCAAGAUGGCGGCCGCCGAGGGACCGGUGGGCGACGGCGAGCUGUGGCAGACCUGGCUUCCUAACCACGUCGUGUUCUUGCGGCUCCGGGAGGGACUGAAAAACCAGAGUCCAACCGAAGCUGAGAAACCAGCUUCUUCGUCGUUUCCUUCGUCGCCGCCGCCGCAGUUGCUGACGAGAAACGUGGUCUUUGGCCUCGGCGGAGAGCUUUUCCUGUGGGACGGAGAAGACAGCUCCUUCUUAGUCGUUCGCCUUCGGGGCCCCGGCGGCGGCGGCGAAGAGCCCGCCCUGUCCCAGUACCAGAGAUUGCUUUGCAUAAAUCCACCCCUGUUUGAAAUCUAUCAAGUCUUGUUAAGCCCAACACAACAUCAUGUAGCACUUAUAGGAAUAAAAGGACUUAUGGUAUUAGAAUUACCUAAAAGAUGGGGGAAGAAUUCUGAAUUUGAAGGUGGAAAAUCAACAGUGAAUUGUAGUACCACUCCAGUUGCUGAGAGAUUUUUCACCAGUUCCACCUCUCUGACUCUAAAGCAUGCUGCAUGGUAUCCAAGUGAAAUCCUGGAUCCCCACGUAGUGCUGUUAACAUCAGACAACGUAAUCAGAAUUUACUCACUACGUGAGCCGCAGACACCCACUAACGUGAUUAUACUUUCAGAAGCCGAAGAGGAAAGUCUAGUACUCAAUAAAGGAAGGGCGUAUACCGCAUCUCUAGGAGAGACAGCAGUUGCAUUUGACUUUGGGCCAUUGGCAGCAGUCCCAAAGACUCUAUUUGGACAAAACGGCAAAGAUGAAGUAGUGGCAUACCCACUGUACAUCUUAUAUGAAAAUGGAGAGACUUUCCUGACAUACAUCAGUCUGUUACACAGCCCUGGAAAUAUUGGAAAGCUGUUGGGUCCAUUGCCCAUGCAUCCUGCGGCUGAAGAUAACUAUGGUUAUGAUGCGUGUGCUAUACUCUGCUUACCCUGUGUCCCCAAUAUCUUAGUGAUCGCUACUGAAUCAGGAAUGCUGUAUCACUGUGUCGUGCUAGAAGGGGAAGAAGAAGAUGACCACACGUCAGAAAAGUCCUGGGAUUCCAGGAUUGACCUCAUUCCUUCUCUGUAUGUGUUUGAAUGUGUUGAGUUGGAGCUUGCUUUGAAACUGGCAUCUGGAGAGGAUGACCCUUUUGAUUCUGACUUUUCUUGUCCAGUCAAACUUCAUAGAGAUCCCAAGUGUCCUUCAAGAUAUCACUGUACUCAUGAAGCUGGUGUACAUAGUGUUGGGCUAACUUGGAUUCAUAAACUUCACAAAUUUCUUGGAUCAGAUGAAGAAGAUAAGGAUAGUUUACAGGAACUCUCUACAGAACAGAAAUGCUUUGUUGAACACAUCCUUUGUACGAAGCCAUUGCCCUGCAGGCAGCCAGCUCCGAUUCGAGGAUUUUGGAUUGUACCUGACAUUCUGGGACCCACGAUGAUCUGCAUCACCAGUACCUAUGAAUGCCUCAUAUGGCCGUUAUUAAGUACAGUCCAUCCAGCGUCUCCUCCCCUGCUUUGUACUCGAGAAGAUGUUGAAGUGGCAGAGUCUCCCCUCCGUGUUCUGGCUGAAACCCCAGAUUCCUUUGAAAAGCAUAUUAGAAGCAUUUUGCAACGUAGUGUUGCCAAUCCAGCAUUUUUGAAGUAUGCAACCUUGGGCAUAGCGGUUUUAUGAAUGGGUUCUCUUCUGUCUUCAGAAUUACUGUGCAUCCUUUCUGUCCUCAUCUGUUUCAUAUACUUUUUACUGUGAUAAAUUUGGAAGAAACUGGAUAUAUUUGAUCAGCUAGUGAAUGGGGAGCAGGAGGGAAGUGGCACCUGAGAAUGAUAAACAGGAAGUGUUUAAAAAGAAGUUAGGCUAGGCCGGGCGUGGUGGCUCACACCUGUAAUCUCAGCACUUUGGGAGGCCAAGACGGGUGAAUCGCGAGGUCAGGAGAUCGAGACCAUCCUGGCUAACACAGCAAAACCCCAUCUCUACUAAAAAUACAAAAAAAAAUUAGCUGGGUGUGGUGGCAGAUGCCUGUAAUCCCAGCUACUUGGGAGGCUGAGGCAGGAGAAUCGCUUGAACCUGGG